GUACCCAUGGUGUAGUAGUUAUCACAUCCGCCUAACGUGCGGAAGGUCCAAGGUUUCGAGACCUGGUGGGUACA